UACGGAAGGCAGCAGUGGGGAAUAUUGCACAAUGGGCGAAAGCCUGAUGCAGCUAUGCCGCGUGUAUGAAGAAGGCCUUAGGGUUGUAAAGUACUUUCAUCGGGGAGGAAAAAACAAAACUAAUAAUUUUAUUUCUUGACGUUACCCGAAAAAGAAGCACCGGCUAACUCCGUGCCAGCAGCCGCGGUAAUACGGAGGGUGCUAGCGUUAAUCAGAAUUACUGGGCGUAAAGAGCACGUAGGUGGUUUUUUUAAAGUCAGAUGUGAAAUCCCUGGGCUUUAACCUGGAACUGCAUUUUGAAACUGAAAUACUAGAGUAUCGUAGAGGGAGGUAGAAUUCUAGGUGUAGCGGUGAAAUGCGUAGAUAUCUGGAGGAAUACCUGUGGCGAAAGCGGCCUCCUAAACGAAUACUGACACUGAGGUGCGAAAGCGUGGGGAGCAAACAGGGAUUAGAUACC
rnacentral:rRNA from 1 species